AAUGAACGUUGGCGGCGUGGAUUAGGCAUGCAAGUCGUACGGGUCGGUGUAGCAAUACAACGGCAAGUGGCGAAAGGGAGAGUAACGCGUAGAUACCUACCCUCUGGUCGGGGAUACCGCGGCAUAACCGCAAGUAAUACCCGAUAAUAUCUCCGGAUCACAGGUGUGAUUCCGCCGGAGGAGGGGUCUGCGUUUCAUCGGCUUGUUGGUGAGGUAAUGGCUCACCAAGGCUAAGACGAAUACGGGGUGUGAGAGCAUGCCCCCGCUCACUGGGACUGAGACACUGCCCAGACACCUACGGGUGGCUGCAGUCGAGAAUCUUCGGCAAUGGGCGCAAGCCUGACCGAGCGACGCCGCGUGCGGGAUGAAGGCCUUCGGGUUGUAAACCGCUGUCGAGGGGGAUAAAGUGCAGGUGGGUACUCCCAUCUGUUUGAUAGAUCCCUGGAGGAAGCAUGGGCUAAGUUCGUGCCAGCCGCCGCAGUAAUAC
rnacentral:rRNA from 1 species